GAUAUCUACGUUUUAGUAUAACAAAUAUAUGAUGGAACAAAAUUACGUGUCCACCGAGAUCCGAGUUGUAAUACAGUGAACAGUAUACGUGUUUCACGGAGAACAUAAAGGGGGUUCCAGGUGUUCCAUGUAUUACUUAGAAGCCUCGUUCCCCGUAUUGGUUAAUGAAUGUUGAAUAAACAAUAGCUUUCGGAAGAUCAGUGUAAAUU